rnacentral:rRNA from 1 species
AUUGAACGCUGGCGGAAUGCUUUACACAUGCAAGUCGAACGGCAGCACGGACUUCGGUCUGGUGGCGAGUGGCGAACGGGUGAGUAAUGUAUCGGAACGUGCCCAGUCGUGGGGGAUAACGUAGUGAAAAUUACGCUAAUACCGCAUACGAUCUAUGGAUGAAAGCGGGGGAUCGCAAGACCUCGCGCGAUUGGAGCGGCCGAUAUCAGAUUAGCUAGUUGGUGGGGUAAAGGCCCACCAAGGCGACGAUCUGUAGCUGGUCUGAGAGGACGACCAGCCACACUGGAACUGAGACACGGUCCAGACUCCUACGGGAGGCAGCAGUGGGGAAUUUUGGGCAAUGGACGCAAGUCUGACCCAGCCAUGCCGCGUGCAGGAUGAAGGCGUUAUGCGUUGUAAACUGCUUUUAUACAGGAAGAAACGACUCUUGCGAGAGGCAUUGACGGUACUGUAUGAAUAAGCACCGGCUAACUCCGUGCCAG